UCGGCUUCAACUUAAUUAAUACCGACUUCAUUAACCAAAUAAUUCCGACCUAUCUAUUUAUAGUUAAUUAUAUAGAAUCAUAUUCUAAUUCGAUUCCAUUUUAAUCACAAUUUAAAUAACAACUUGAUAAAAUCAAAUAAUCCAAUCCUAAUCUAACAAGUCAUUAGCAUUAUCUCUAACACUCCCCCAUAAUGCUAAUGAUGCUAAUAUUCUUCACAUCGAUCUUCUUUCGGCAAAAUAUGAAUUUCUCCAAUGGUAGUGACUUUAUGAAAAUAUCGGCAAUUUGCUCAUCGAUUACGUAGUGUAUCAACUCGAAUUCUUCUCGUAUGUUUUCGAUCAUCAACUGAACCUGUCCAAUCACUAUUAAAACAACCAAAAUAAAAAUCGUUACGGUUAGUAUACCACAACCGAUGGUGUCUUGUUCCUUUCAAAUAUCUUAAUAUCAUUUUCGCCUUAUAUAUCGACUUAAAUACAAUAACUUUUUUUAUCUAUAGGCGAUUCAACAAACUAGUAAAUAUUAUUUUUUCGUAACGCCGCAUUUUCGUUAUUCGUCGCUUUACACCAAUCAUUAGAUUUUGUCGCCUCCUCGAA
rnacentral:lncRNA from 1 species